AGCAGUAGCCACGGGAAUACGAAGGGGGCUAGCGUUGCUCGGAAUCACUGGGCGUAAAGGGUGCGUAGGCGGGUCUUUAAGUCAGGGGUGAACUCCCGGAGCUCAACUCCAGAACUGCCUUUGAUACUGAAGAUCUUGAGUUCGGGAGAGGUGAGUGGAACUGCGAGUGUAGAGGUGAAAUUCGUAGAUAUUCGCAAGAACACCAGUGGCGAAGGCGGCACACUGGCCCGAUACUGACGCUGAGGCACGAAAGCGUGGGGAGCAAACAGGAUUAGAUACCCCAGUAGUCCCUGUCUCUUAUAA
rnacentral:rRNA from 1 species